AUUGAACGCUGGCGGCAGGCCUAACACGUGCAAGUCGAACGGUAGCACAGAGAGCUUGCUCUCGGGUGACGAGUGGCGGACGGGUGAGUAACGUCUGGGAAACUGCCCGAUGGAGGGGGAUAACUACUGGAAACGGUAGCUAAUACCGCAUAACGUCGCAAGACCAAAGUGGGGGACCUUCGGGCCUCACACCAUCGGAUGUGCCCAGAUGGGAUUAGCUAGUAGGUGGGGUAAUGGCUCACCUAGGCGAGGAUCCCUAGCUGGUCUGAGAGGAUGAACAGACACACUGGAACUGAGACACGGUCCAGACUCCUACGGGAGGCAGCAGUGUGGAAUAUUGCACAGUGGGCGCAAGACUGAUGCAGCCAUGCCGCGUGUAUGAAGAAGGCCUUCGGGUUGUAAAGUACUUUCAGCGGGGAGGAAGGCGGUGAAGUUAAUAACUUCACCGAUUGACGUUACCCGCAGAAGAAGCACCGGCUAACUCCGUGCCAGCAGCCGCGGUAA
rnacentral:rRNA from 1 species